AAACAUCAUUCCUAGGUAGUAAUUCUCGUAACUUCAGGUUCACGAAAUCAAGAACAAUGAAGAUUGUGAUGUGUGCUGUUCUCAUGCUUGUCAUCAUCAGCCCUUGCACUGCAGCAAAGCCCCUCAUGACGGCCGCACAAAGGGAGCAUGUUGAGCGUCCAGGAGAGGGAGAAGCGAAGGCAGGAGAGGUCACUACUACUGCUAUCGACUAUAAACCUUAUGCACGUAUAAAUGGAAAUGGAAAUCAUUCCUGCCGUUAUGGAAAGAAAUGCUAUAAUCGACCUUGAUUCGCAAAACAAGCUACACCACUGCCAUGCAAACAUGAUACUCUAAACCUUUAGAAGUAUUUGUAUCUCUCAUGCGAUAGCUGUAUCUUGCUAUCUGCAUAUGUAUCAACUGUAGAAGCUGCUCGUUGAGAUGAUGCUAUGUGUGUACCUUAUGAAUAAAAAUGGAGGCAAUCUCCAGCCUUCGGUGCUUA